rnacentral:rRNA from 1 species
AAUGAACGUUGGCGGCAUGGAUUAGGCAUGCAAGUCGAGCGAGAAGAGUUUUGAAGCUUGCUUUAGAGCUCGGACAGCGGCGAAAGGGAGAGUAACGCGUAGUUAUGUGCCCUAGGGUCCGGAAUAGCCACGGGAAACUGUGGGUAAUGCCGGAUAACAUCCCCGGAUCAAAGGUGUGAUUCCGCCCUAGGAGCAGACUGCGUCCUACUAGCUAGUUGGUGGGGUAAUGGCCCACCAAGGCAAUGAUGGGUAGCGGGUGUGAGAGCAUGACCCGUCUCACUGGGACUGAGACACUGCCCAGACACCUACGGGUGGCUGCAGUCGAGAAUCUUCGGCAAUGGGCGAAAGCCUGACCGAGCGAUGCCGCGAGCGGGAUGAAGGCCCUCGGGUUGUAAACCGCUGUCGUAGGGGAGGAAGGUUCCGUGAAGAGCGGAAUUUGACCUAUCCUAGGAGGAAGUACGGGCUAAGUUCGUGCCAGCAGCCGCGUAAGAC